rnacentral:rRNA from 1 species
AACGAACGCUGGCGGCAUGCCUAACACAUGCAAGUCGAACGAGACCUUCGGGUCUAGUUGCGCACGGGUGCGUAACGCGUGGGAAUCUGCCCUUCGGUUGGGAAUAACUGAGAGAAAUUUCAGCUAAUACCUUAUAAUGUCUUCGGACCAAAGAUUUAUCGCCGAGGGAUGAGCCCGCGUAGGAUUAGGUAGUUGGUGGGGUAAUGGCCUACCAAGCCGACGAUCCUUAGCUGGUCUGAGAGGAUGAUCAGCCACACUGGGACUGAGACACGGCCCAGACUCCUACGGGAGGCAGCAGUGGGGAAUAUUGGACAAUGGGCGAAAGCCUGAUCCAGCAAUGCCGCGUGAGUGAUGAAGGCCUUAGGGUUGUAAAGCUCUUUUACCCGGGAUGAUAAUGACAGUACCGGGAGAAUAAGCUCCGGCUAACUCCGUG